AUUGAACGCUGGCGGCAGGCCUAACACAUGCAAGUCGAGCGGAUGAAGGGAGCUUGCUCCUGGAUUCAGCGGCGGACGGGUGAGUAAUGCCUAGGAAUCUGCCUGGUAGUGGGGGAUAACGUCCGGAAACGGGCGCUAAUACCGCAUACGUCCUGAGGGAGAAAGUGGGGGAUCUUCGGACCUCACGCUAUCAGAUGAUCCUAGGUCGGAUUAGCUAGUUGGUGGGGUAAAGGCCUACCAAGGCGACGAUCCGUAACUGGUCUGAGAGGAUGAUCAGUCACACUGGAACUGAGACACGGUCCAGACUCCUACGGGAGGCAGCAGUGGGGAAUAUUGGACAAUGGGCGAAAGCCUGAUCCAGCCAUGCCGCGUGUGUGAAGAAGGUCUUCGGAUUGUAAAGCACUUUAAGUUGGGAGGAAGGGCAAUAAGUUAAUACCUUGCUGUUUUGACGUUACCAACAGAAUAAGCACUGGCUAACUUCGUG
rnacentral:rRNA from 1 species